rnacentral:rRNA from 1 species
UACGAAGGGGGCUAGCGUUGUUCGGAAUUACUGGGCGUAAAGCGCACGCAGGCGGAUUGAUAAGUCAGGGGUGAAAUCCCGGGGCUUAACCUCGGAAUUGCCUUUGAUACUGUCUGUCUUGAGUCCGGGAGAGGUGAGUGGAAUUCCUAGUGUAGAGGUGAAAUUCGUAGAGAUUAGGAAGAACACCAGUGGCGAAGGCGGCUAACUGGCCCGGAACUGACGUUCAUGUGCGAAAGAGUGGGGAGCAAACAGG